UACAGAGGCGGCGAGCGUUGUUCGGAUUUACUGGGCGUAAAGGGUGCGUAGGCGGUUCUGUGUGUCGGACGUGAAAUCUCACAGCUCAACUGUGGAAUUGCAUUUGAAACUACAGGGCUGGAGUACAGGAGAGGAGAGCGGAAUUCUCGGUGUAGCGGUGAAAUGCGUAGAUAUCGAGAGGAACACCGGUGGCGAAGGCGGCUCUCUGGACUGAUACUGACGCUGAGGCACGAAAGCUGGGGGAGCAAACAGG
rnacentral:rRNA from 1 species